UUUGAAAUGCACCGAAUAGUGUAAGGUCCUAAAUCAGGAACCAGAAGAAAUGACGACUAGCAAGCUUAUCUUCACUUUGCUUCUAGCCCUGGUCUGUCCAGGCUGUGGGAGAGCAAACUGGAUCGCACCGAAGAAGACAGAAGUGUCUGGCACAGAAGGGAAGACCGCAGACCUGUCUUGUCAUUAUGAUGCCUCAUCUGCAAGAUUUGUGGAUCUCUACUGGUUUCGACAGUAUCCGAACCAAGGACCUGAAUUCAUUCUCUACAGGGGGUGGGGACACUCAGAAAAAGGAGAUGCCAGUUUUGCCACAGAAAGGUUUUAUUCAAAAACUACACCAAAUUCUACAAAUUUGUACAUCAGGCUUCUGGUUCCUGCAGAUACUGCUUUGUAUUACUGUGCGCUCAGAGUCAGAGGCACAAAGAUACCAUCUCAUAGGAGAGCCCUACAAAAACCUCAUUGCAGGAAAGGAAAAGGGAUGUGGCCACGCAGCCACACAGGAUUUUAG